UCCUCGAUAGCUCAGUUGGUAGAGCAAAUGACUGUUAAUCAUUGGGUCGCAGGUUCGAGUCCUGCUCGAGGAG
rfam:Halomonas sp. QHL1 Scaffold1, whole genome shotgun sequence.